rnacentral:rRNA from 1 species
GUGGGGAAUCUUCCGCAAUGGACGAAAGUCUGACGGAGCGACGCCGCGUGAGUGAAGAAGGCCUUCGGGUCGUAAAGCUCUGUCAUCAGGGACGAACGGCCGGUGGAGUGGAAAGCCACCGGAUUGACGGUACCUGAGAAGGAAGCCACGGCUAACUACGUGCCAGCAGCCGCGGUAAUACGUAGGUGGCAAGCGUUGUCCGGAAUUAUUGGGCGUAAAGCGCGCGCAGGUGGGAUCUUAAGUCCAUUUUUAAAGUUCGGAGCUCAACUCCGUGAUGGGAUGGAAACUGGGAUUCUUGAGUACCGGAGAGGAAAGCGGAAUUCCCCGUGUAGCGGUGAAAUGCGUAGAUAUGGGGAGGAACACCAGUGGCGAAGGCGGCUUUCUGGACGGUGUCUGACACUGAGGCGCGAAAGCUAGGGGAGCGAACGGGAUUAGAUACCCGUGUAGUCC